AGGAAAGUAACGAAGGGCGAAUGGUGGAUGCCUAGGCUCUUACAGGCGAUGAAGGACGUGAUAAGCUGCGAAAAGCCGCGGUGAGGUGCAAAUAACCUUUGACCCGCGGAUCUCCGAAUGGGACAACCCGGCACUCUGAAGGAGUGUCAUCCGUUAUAUUGACGGAGGCGAACGCAGGGAACUGAAACAUCUUAGUACCUGCAGGAAAAGAAAAUAAGAAUGAUUCCCCCAGUAGUGGCGAGCGACCGGGGAAUAGCCCAAACCCGUCCUGUUUCGGCAGGUCGGGGGUUGUAGGACCACGAUAUCGGACGAAAUUUUGUGAGGGGAAUGAUCUGGAAAGUUCAUCCGCAGAGCGUGAAAGACGCGUACCCGAAGCAAAAUGAACCGUAGUGGUAUCCUGAGUAGCGCGGGACACGAGGAAUCCUGUGUGAAUCCGCCGGGACCAUCCGGCAAGGCUAAAUACUCGUAAGAGACCGAUAGUGAACGAGUACCGUGAGGGAAAGGUGAAAAGCACCCCGAACAGGGGAGUGAAAUAGUUCCUGAACCCAUUCGCCUACAAGCGGUCGGAGCACCUUUUAGGUGUGACGGCGUGCCUUUUGCAUAAUGAACCUACGAGUUGCCGUUUGCGGCAAGGUUAAGGAUGACGACAUCCCGAGCCGUAGCGAAAGCGAGUCUGAACAGGGCGCCAGAGUCGCAAGUGGCAGACGCGAAACCGAGUGAUCUACACUUGUCCAGGAUGAAGUCCCGGUAACACGGGAUGGAGGUCCGCACCAAUAAGCGUUGAAAAGCUUCUGGAUGAGGUGAGUGUAGGAGUGAAAGGCCAAUCAAACUCGGAGAUAGCUCGUACUCCCCGAAAGGCAUUUAGGUGCCGCCUGUGACGUUCCCGACAAGAGGUAGAGCGACUGAUUGGAUGCGAGGGCUUCACCGCCUAUCAAGUCCAGAUAAACUCCGAAUGCUUGUCGGCCAAGUCAUGGAGUAAGGGCAUGGGUGCUAAGGUCCGUGCCCGAGAGGAGAAGAAUCCAGACCGCCGGCUAAGGUCCCGAAAUACAGGUUAAGUUAAUCUAACGCAGUCCGGCCCCCCAGACAGCUAGGAUGUUGGCUUGGAAGCAGCCAUUCAUUCAAAGAGUGCGUAACAGCUCACUAGUCGAGGAGCUGGGCGUGGAUAAUAAUCGGGUAUAAAACCUGUUACCGAAGCCGCGGGAUGCUUUAUUAGCAUCGGUAGGGGAGCAUUCCAUUCGGCGUCGAAGGCGCGGCGUGAGCCGCUCUGGAGCGUAUGGAAAAGCAAAUGUAGGUAUAAGUAACGAUAAGGAGGGUGAGAUGCCCUCCCGCCGCAAGACCAAGGUUUCCUGGACAACGUUAAUCGUUCCAGGGUAAGUCGGUUCCUAAGUAUCAGCCGAAAGGCGAGUGCGAUGGCAGAAACGGUUAAAAUUCCGUUACUGCCCUUGUAUGUGACGCGGGGACGGAGAAGUGACACGGCCGCCGUCUGACGGAAUAGACGGUUGAAGGGCGUAUGCGUAGAUAGGGGCAGGCAAAUCCACCCCUUGAGCAGAAACCUGAAAGUACACCAAAUCCUCCGGGAUGCGGUGAUAGCGCCGGUAAUCUGGCUCCCGAGAAAAUCCGCUAAACUUCAGUACAAGGGCAACCGUACCGUAAACGGACACACGUGGUCGGGUUGAGUAUACUAAGGCGCUCGGGUGAUUCACGGUUAAGGAACUAGGCAAAUUGACCCCGUACCUUCGGAAUAAGGGGUCCUCACUGUAGCAGGUGAGGCGCAGAGAAUAGGUCCAGGCAACUGUUUAGCAAAAACACAGGGCUGUGCUAAAUCGAAAGAUGCUGUAUACAGCCUGACACCUGCCCGGUGCCGGAAGGUUAAGAGGAGAGCUCAUCAGCAAUGAGAAGGUUUGAAUUGAAGCCCCGGUAAACGGCGGCCGUAACUAUAACGGUCCUAAGGUAGCGAAAUUCCUUGUCGGGUAAGUU
rnacentral:rRNA from 1 species